AGAGUUUGAUCAUGGCUCAGAUUGAACGCUGGCGGCAGGCCUAACACAUGCAAGUCGAGCGGUAACAGGGGUAGCUUGCUACCCGCUGACGAGCGGCGGACGGGUGAGUAAUGCAUAGGAAUCUGCCCGGUAGUGGGGGAUAACCUGGGGAAACCCAGGCUAAUACCGCAUACGUCCUACGGGAGAAAGGGGGCUCCGGCUCCCGCUAUUGGAUGAGCCUAUGUCGGAUUAGCUAGUUGGUGAGGUAAUGGCUCACCAAGGCGACGAUCCGUAGCUGGUCUGAGAGGAUGAUCAGCCACAUCGGGACUGAGACACGGCCCGAACUCCUACGGGAGGCAGCAGUGGGGAAUAUUGGACAAUGGGCGAAAGCCUGAUCCAGCCAUGCCGCGUGUGUGAAGAAGGCCCUCGGGUUGUAAAGCACUUUCAGCGAGGAAGAACGCCUAGUGGUUAAUACCCAUUAGGAAAGACAUCACUCGCAGAAGAAGCACCGGCUAACUCCGUGCCAGCAGCCGCGGUAAUACGGAGGGUGCAAGCGUUAAUCGGAAUUACUGGGCGUAAAGCGCGCGUAGGUGGCUUGAUAAGCCGGUUGUGAAAGCCCCGGGCUCAACCUGGGAACGGCAUCCGGAACUGUCAAGCUAGAGUGCAGGAGAGGAAGGUAGAAUUCCCGGUGUAGCGGUGAAAUGCGUAGAGAUCGGGAGGAAUACCAGUGGCGAAGGCGGCCUUCUGGACUGACACUGACACUGAGGUGCGAAAGCGUGGGUAGCAAACAGGAUUAGAUACCCUGGUAGUCCACGCCGUAAACGAUGUCGACCAGCCGUUGGGUGCCUAGCGCACUUUGUGGCGAAGUUAACGCGAUAAGUCGACCGCCUGGGGGAGUACGGCCGCAAGGUUAAAACUCAAAUGAAUUGACGGGGGCCCGCACAAGCGGGGGAGCAUGUGGGUUUAAUUCGAUGCAACCCCGAAGAACCUUUCCUACUCUUUGAAAUCCUGCGAAAUUGUGAGAGAAUAACUUUGUGGCCUUCCGGAAAACAAAAAACAAGGGGUUGCAUGGGUGUCCCUCAACCCCUCGUUUUGGAAAAGAUGGUGGUGAGAUCCCUCCC
rnacentral:rRNA from 1 species